AUGGCCUUGCCAAUUUAGGAUCAAUAACUUCACUCUUGAAAGUGUAGGCUCCCCUAGAGUCAUAUUCACACAUUCUGGAUUCUUAGUUGUACUGCAAUAUGAUGAAAAUGUUGGCAAACCUUCAAGUUAUGUAUAAGUCUGGUGCGUUUGUAUUUUGGAUCCGGAUUUGGAUCUAGGCACCCUCAUUGUAAAUCUUGGAUAUUGACAGCCUAUUUGCAUAGAAGAAAUUUAUAAAAAUUCAAUUUAAU
rnacentral:misc_RNA from 1 species